rnacentral:rRNA from 1 species
CACGCUGUAAACGGUGAAUACUGGGUGUGGGAGGUGUAAUGCCUUCUGUGCCGAAGCUAACGCGUUAAGUAUUCCGCCUGGGGAGUACGGCCGCAAGGUUGAAACUCAAAGGAAUUGACGGGGGCCCGCACAAGCGGUGGAGCAUGUGGUUUAAUUCGACGCAACGCGAAAAACCUUACCUGGGCUUGACAUGUCGAGAAUCCGGAUGAAAGUCUGGAGUGCCUCGUAAGAGGAGCUCGAACACAGGUGC